AUUGAACGCUGGCGGCAUGCCUUACACAUGCAAGUCGAACGGUAACGCGGGGCAACCUGGCGACGAGUGGCGAACGGGUGAGUAAUGCAUCGGAACGUGCCUGGUAGUGGGGGAUAACUGCUCGAAAGAGCAGCUAAUACCGCAUACGACCUGAGGGUGAAAGGGGGGGAUCGCAAGACCUCUCGCUAUCAGAGCGGCCGAUGUCGGAUUAGCUAGUUGGUGGGGUAAAGGCCCACCAAGGCGACGAUCCGUAGCUGGUCUGAGAGGACGACCAGCCACACUGGGACUGAGACACGGCCCAGACUCCUACGGGAGGCAGCAGUGGGGAAUUUUGGACAAUGGACGCAAGUCUGAUCCAGCCAUGCCGCGUGCGGGAAGAAGGCCUUCGGGUUGUAAACCGCUUUUGUCAGGGAAGAAAUCUUCUGGGCUAAUACCCUGGGAGGAUGACGGUACCGUAAGAAUAAGCACCGGCUAACUACGUGCCAGCCGCCGCAGUAACAC
rnacentral:rRNA from 1 species